CAACUCUCCAAGCCGACCCUGCUGAAAAAGAUAAAUUUUAUACUGACCUGCGCCGCCUUACCCAAAAGGUUCCCACAGAUGAUAAGAUCAUUAAAUUUUAUACCAAUUCCUAAAAGUGCAGUCAUACCAUGCUCCUGGCCGGCCAAAUGCAGAAAAUAACUCUGGCAACAGUGCAAAAAGUUCUGCAUGAAGCUAUCAGGAUAGCUUGCUCACCUGGUCUCUCUGAGAAUGUGCUUGCCAGUGCUUUUUCUACCAAUGUUAUCUCUCUUUACUAGAUUGUCAUCUUAGCUUUCUGACCCACUUAUUUUGCUCAAUUUUGAUGAAGAAUUUUAAAUUCAGGUGAAAGUGGUACGUUCAUCCCCUGAGCUGUGCAGCUGUUUUCUAUAUAGAUAUGUCAGUCUAGGCUGCCAGCUUAGACUGAAACACAACUUUCUGACUAUAAGUAGCUGACUAGUUUCUGAAGUUCUUAGACACUUAUCUUAAUUUCUGCUUAAAACAUAACAAACAGCAGCACUAAAUUGAUUUAGAUUUCAUCCAAGGUAGAAGUUUAUCUCCAAAGUUUGCAUAUUUAUUUUAUGAGGUAAAUUAAACUCUAGACUUCAGGAUGCAAUAAUCUCUAGUCUGUCAUUCCACCUAUUUUUCCAGGUGUGGAAUAUUGACCUCUGCCAUUAACAAAGAAGGUAGUGGUGGCUACAGUAUGUCAGUGGUUUGGCUAAUCUAGUAGUGCCAGUUUAUUUUCUUAGGCAAGUAGGGAUGUAGUGGGGUAUAGAUAUGAGGAAUGUACUUAACAGAAACAUGUUUCUAGUUGCUUCUGUUGCAACACCGUGAUGCUGACAUUAUCUUUCUUUUAUUCCCUGAACUAAAAUGCCUUACCACUUUAAAUCUUUGUGUUUGGUUUAGUUGUUUUUUUUUUUUUUUUUGUUUUGGUUUGGUUUGGGUUUUUUUUUACAACUUUCUACUUUUGAGAUUCUAACACGAAGUUCUUGUUUCCCCUUCAGCAAAUAAAGUUGUAUCCUCUAUAUAAUGUUUUAAGUAGGUAAUUUUUGCAAUAUCCUUAGCAACUUAUUUCGAGAUAUUGACUUUCCAGUUUUCCAGACUAAUGUCCUUAAUAAAAAAAAAAAAAUUAGCAAUAGUAAUAAGAGAAUUCCUCAACAAUGUACUUGAUAUUAAACUAAAGGUAAAGCUGAUAUUUGUGCUGCAGUGGUCCUUUUGUAAGGCAUUUGGAUUUUCAGUGUGCCUAUGUAACAAAAUUUCAUUGUGUGUGUAUGUAAGUAAAAAUUCUUCCCAUAUCAAGUGAAUCAUGCACAGUCUUUUUUUCCCCCUUAUUUUUGUUGCAUUUUUAAAUUUAUAAACUAGUGUGUUGGCAUUACAAAAUACACGUGCGGUAUUGCAGAAUACUAGAACGUGACAGUUAAAAAGCUCAAAGAACCUUAAACCUUCCCAGUGGCAGUCGGACAAACCCCUGUGCAAACAGAUAAGCCUGGGUCUGAGGGUCAACAAACUCGUUUUGUCAGAUCUGUUAAGUUAGCAAGUUGCAGAGAAGGUUUACCUUUUGUUAAAAACUCUAUUUUGCUUUUUGCUGCAUUCUCUUAAAUAUAAAUGAUGCCUAAAUUGAUAGUUGUGUGCAGCCCCAGGCUUAAAAUCCUUGUCAAAGCGUUUUGGCUGGAAGCUCUUUACUGGAGGGAAGAGCCAUUAUAUUUCCACUCAAACAGGCUUUAGGUUUCAGUCCUAGUCCUUAGCAGGUAUAAGUGCGUUUGAGAAACUAAUGCUGAGAUUAGCCAGGGAUAGGACCACUACUGACAAGCACUGUGGCUAAAUAGGCAGGUACAGUCCCAACUCCAGAACAUUUAAAAUGAGAAAGGCUUCUCUUUUUAGUUUAUUCUGAGACUGGUAUAUCUAGUGGUAUCACAGUUCUCUUUUGAUUUAGGCAUUCAGUAUUCUUGCAGGUGUAUAACUGAUGAAUAUAAUGUUUGUGCUAGGGGAAGUGAGGGAAAUUGCUGGUAGACUCAAUCACUGCCCUAUUUUUUUCUUCCCCCCCUCUAAACUCUAUGGAAAUGCUUUCCUUCAGCUGGAUACUAAAGUCAAGCAACCCUAACAAAUGCAGUGAGAGAGCACCUCAGUAAUAUCUGGUUGUGGAAGAUAAGUCUGUUUAGUAUUCAAAGCUUCUGUGUCCGUUAUGUGCCAGCCACAGUGCCAUGGUAGGAGCUUGGGUGGCACCACCUUAUUUAUUUGGCAAAAUGAUAAGGGCUGCAGUGGGGGGCUGUCAGUUUAUCUUCUUCAAACCCGACAAGCAAUUGUCAUCAGCAGAGUUGUGCAGGCUGGAGGAAGAAGAAAGGAAUGGAAGUCCUUAAACAGGGGUGGCUGUUGUAGCCUCAGCAUCAUGAAGCUCUGUUUUACAGACAUGUUAACAGAUGCAUACAGAUAUUAAACACACUGAAGCUUUUCACAAAAUUGUCUCCAAAUACACUGAGAUGGCAUUUCAUUAUAGUUGAUACACAAAUAAACCCCAGUGCAGAUAUUUUUGGUGACUCAACUGAUUUUUUAAAAAAAAAAAUCAUUGAAUGUAUCACUUCAUAAAUAAAUAUAUUUUCUUACAAGAUAUGGUAUUCUUACUUCUCUAAAGACUAUUUAUUUUAACUCUGCCCUUAAAGUACUUUUUAUUCUCAAACUGGAGAAACUAGAGUGGUAGAUGGCAUUCUUUUACAUACAUCUCUCCUGGUGAAAGAAGUUGGGGCUCCCGCCCAUUCCUGUGAGCUUCCUUGCUUCUUCCUGUCAGAUUCAGUGUCUGAAAUGAAUAUUUUCCUGAUCCAAGAGGAGGGGAUUUGAAGUCCUGCCUGGCACAUGUGAAUUUGAAGGCUUCCUACCCACAGCCUUAUUUAGCUACUGAAGCUGGGUUGUUUCAGAAACAUCAGCUUAAAGUGAAUGCCAUUUAGCUUUUGCAGAGGGAAAUAUGGCUUGACUACCAAGGGACAUCGCCUGCUGUAUGGGAAAAGCUAUGCUGUUGGUAUGAGGGCCAUGUGUUUGUAACUAAAUAAACAAAACUAGUGUCUUGGACUGAAAUUUAAUCUUGGAAGUUAGGAAAAGUAGCGGAUGUUUCCUUGGAGAAUUCAUGCAAGGAUGGGUUUGGGUCUCUAUUUCACACAAAGUGGGGUAAUGAAACUGGUUUUUUUCUAUCAAGUAAAUAAUUGAAAGAAUCAAGAACAAACCUAGAAACUUAUAUAUCAGGAAUGCAUAAUUCAGCACCUGGCUGUAAAAUGUCCCUCUUAUCUUCCCUUCAACAUCCUCCAAAUCUUGUACUGCAGUUGUCUCAGAUGAGACAUGACCUGAUUGCAUCUCACAUAACCUGCUUUGAGUUCAGCUGAUGUGGAGGCCAGGAGCUGCAUCACCCUCUCUGGAGUAGAUGGUUAUGAUGUUCGCAGAUCUCUACUCAUGGAAUGAACAAGCUCAGGUCAUAAACUGAUGUUACAUCAGCUGAAGGCAGUGGGGAUUAGGGAAUAUGCUGAGAUGUGAAUUGUCUCUUCACAAUGCCCAGCUGCUGAGCAGUGGUUCGCAACUGGAGUGGUUGUGAUCUGCCUGUGUCAGUGGAGGCAGCUGUUUCCCUCCCUCCCCACUCAGUUACCUUGUCAUGAGCAAGGGGAGGCUGGAGAAACAGAUUUUAUCAGAUUGGUUGAAUAAGAUAAAGAUUGUUUCUAGACUUCACGUUGUAUGUGUCUGUCAUGGUUUAAGCCACAACAACGCAGUGUCUUGUUUGUACAGGGAACUGAGGAUGCAGCAAAUAUAGCCAUCUCUUACAUUUUUCAUUGCUCUGUAUCAGAAAAGCCCUCAAAUCCUUCAAUGCUUUUGUUUUGAGGCUUCCACUGUAUUGACCUUACUGUGCACUUUUAUCACAAAGAUAUCUUUAGUAUGUUUAUUUAUAUUUUUAUUUAUCUUUGUGUAGAUGCUAAAAGCUUGAAAUUAAAAAAAAAAAAGACUGUUGAGAAUAAUGACUAACAAACCCACAUGUCCUUAGCUGCAGAGUUUGGUACUCAGCUUUUGGAGACUUUUUGCCCAUUUUCAGACUUAUUAGACCUUUGUUUCCAAAUUUCUGAGGGUUCCUUUUGGACUGCAUGUGGCUAAACCCAGAGCUAGCUCAAGGAAGGGUAUUUUCCUCUUGGCGAUGGUAGGCUGUGUGCCAGAGUAAGAAGAUAUUUUCUGUCUUCUGAUACUUACCACAGCAGUCCCCACCAUUAGGCAGUUGUUAAUGAAGAUUUAGCAGAGGGUUUGUCUUAGAGCUUUUAAGAUGGAAGAGCGUAGAGUUGAGGGGAGACCAGGAGAUAAGGGAUCCCUGUAAACUUAAAACCAACUCUGGCAUUUUUAUUAUUUCUUUGUUGUUUUGGGCUUUGCUAGUACCCACUUUAUGUAACAUCAUGUCAGUUGAAAUAUUUGUCCACUAAGUUGGAAGUCUUGCAUUAAAAGACUUUACUCUGCAAAAUGUGUUCCCAAAGGUAGGAGGUCAAACACACCCCACUGCUGAGCACUUGCCAUUGGCUGGGUUUCAAUGAAUUGCAAGCUCAGCAUGUGGAGUUUUUUGAUCACUUUUGAGAUAUUGAUUCUUUUUGCACACUGUAUGAAGAUUCUAGACCUUAAAUUUUGGCUUCUUCUCUGGGUAUUAAAAGGGCCUGAAGUACACAUCUACUUUAUUGGCACCUAAAAUGCUUAAGAAAUCUUGCUUCUUGUAAGCAUGGCUAGAAACUUAAUCUAUUGUAAUUAUUUAAAAAGGUAUGUAGAGCCCUUGUAAGUGCAUGAUUUGAACAGGAUCCUAGUUACAGAUAUAUUAUAUUAUUUACCAUCCUAAUCUGGUUCUGCAUACUUAUUCCCCUAAUUCCUCACAACUGUUUGCUUUUUGAUUAGAAGGUACAAAUUAAAAAUUCCUAUCACUGAGUUCUGAUGGGAGUAUACUGUAAAUCUAGCUCAGGAGCUCAGUCUGCUGUUACUCCUGAUCCUGAUUUUUGCUUAAUGGAUGCUUCAGCCAUUGAAAUAUGUUUGUAACCUAAGUAGAUUCUGAGCCUUAUCCUUAAUUCAUGGUUAUUAGUUCAUCUAAGUUUCUGCUUACUAAAUUGAACUCUCAAAUCAGCCUUUGCAAGUUGAAGGCAGAUACUAACACUUAAACUUGGUUUUCAUUGUGUCCUGUCAUAUGUGAAUUUUUCCCAGCUAGAGCCUUGUGCUUGUGAAUUCCAAGCAACUCGCUCCAAGUUAAUUCCUUUUGUGGGCUAUUGAUUUCUGUAAAUUUCACUUUUAAACAGAACUGUGUGAUGUCAGGGCUUUUAAUGUACAGGUUCUGUUGACUCUUCUUGAAUGAGGCAUUUAUUUAAACUGUUACCAAAUAGCGGAAUUUGAUUAAAUUGCAUAAACCAAACAGAACUUGUAAUCUUGAGGCAAGAGUUUGUUCUUAUGUCCUUUCUCUGUGUCCUCACUAUGUGAAAUUGUUUAAAUAACCUUCCAAACAGUUAUGAUAUAGAUGGGGGAAUUUAGUAGUAAUGUUAAUAAGGUAACUAACACAGUUUGACUCCUGUUAGCUUAGUGUUAUCUAAUAGGUAGUUGAGAUAUAAUACUUCACGUAUCUGAUUCCGUAGUUUAUAGCCUUUUAUUGGUUGUCUGAAUACAUAAAAAAACCCCAAACCAAACGAAAACAAAAAAGGAGGGGGCGAAAAAAAGCUGAAAACAAGCAACAACCAAACCCAAACUGCCAUUCUCCCCCCAAAAACAACAACAAAAAAACCCACCACCCAAAACCUCACUAGUGUUGUUAGUACAGGCUAUAUCUGAUGAAAUACUUGCAACACAGUGACUGGUUAUCCUUUAUUCUCUGGCUUGGUGGAGGUAAAAUAGGCAGCUGUGUGUGUAUCUCUUUGCUGAGUCUGCACAAUACGUCUCAAUACCAAAUACCUACCAAGAAGAUAGGUAAUAAGAGAUACUGCUUGAUUGCACAGCUUUCUCUAGCUGAUUGGGAAAUGUGACUACUCACAUUUCUGUGUGACAAAUAAGAAUGUCAUUUUAGUCUUAAAAGCAUAAAGAAUUUUUUUUCAAAUGCACCAAGAGAGAAAGAAGCAGCAUGUUUGUUUUUUAAGUUGUUUACAAGAGGAAAAAGUUACUGCUAGCACAAGGAAAGAAAAUACAAUUAAUGACAAGGGAAAAAGCAUCACUUCAGGUCCAUUGUAUUAACCAGACCUAUAUUUAUCUUAAAGUAUAUUUCCUGACCUUCUGAAACCUCUUAUUUUUAGUGAUGUGCUUAGAAAUUAUUGCUUUUAGGGAACAAACCAACUCCAAGUGCUAUAACUCAGUGUUCUUUCAGUAUAUAAUGAACAUUAAGAUCAUGUCAUUCGGGCAAUUUUUUUUCCUAAUGUGUAAUGUCUGUUAAACUAGCUGUUCUUUUUUUUUACCGAAGUACUAAAAUAAUUUUUCUUUGGAUGUAUUCCAAAGGUGUGAUAUGUGACAACAGUUGUUAUAAAGCAGGUCUGUGUAAGUGCUGAGUCGAGUGGCAAUUACAAUUUUUUAGAGCCCUCAUAAUAACCAUGAAGCUAUAAUAAUGAUUGAGGCUACAUCCAUCUAGUGGGUAGAUGCUUUACUUAGAGCUGGAUUUGUGUUCAGAAGGGCUUCUGCUUAAGCCUGGGUAGUUUUUCCAAUUAUGUAAUAUACUUAGUAUCAUGCUGAACUUAUGUUGACCAAAACUUUUUCAGCUCCAAAAAGGAAAACAAGCUAAGGAAAUAUUUUGAUCAAAAUACUUUUCUCUAAAUGGCCCUAUGUCAUUGAUCAAGAAGUUGGACAGGAAAGUAACAGGUUUUUAUCUGGAAAAUUGUGUCUUUGUGCCAUGAUGAAAGCCUCCAAAAAGUUUCCAGACAUACCUGCAUAUGAGUCUGUCCCUGACCAACUCUCUGUCCUUCCAGAGACCUGGUGUUACAUGGUUCACUUUCUUUUGGAUUGUAAGAAAUCCUGCUAGUAGUAUUCUUGGGCAAAAAAAUGUAUUAAAUUACAGAGAAAAAUUAAGACAGGAUCUUUUGCUUGUUUGAGACUGCAGAGGAGACUAAUAGAGGAGCUAAGAACAUGAACUUAACUAUCUUGGUGCUGAUAAAUCAAAUGUUUGCUUAUCCUUAAGGUGUUUUAAAGCAGUAAACUCCUUACUACAGAAAGCUAAUGAAUUUUACAU